CCAGAUCCGUCCAGACACAAUUCAAAUCAGUGGGAUUUGUCUCGAUCUGGCUCCCCUGCAUCAUCAUCAUCAUCAUCAUCACCAUCAUCAUCAUCAUCAUCAUUAUUCCCGGCGCGCGGGUGAGGUCGCUCUGUCUGAAGGCGCGCGCUGCGCACACGCACACGCCAAAAACACACAGACAACAAGGCAACUGCGCACUGGAGCGUCUGCACAUGGAUCCUUCUCUUCCUUAUUCCUUUCCUUUCUUUCCUGGAUGGAUGACAGUGCAUGCACGCUCUCUCUCUCUCUCUCUCUCUCUCUCUCUCUCUGUCUGUCUUUUUUUGGGAAUGUUGCAACCGGUCCCUGUGGAUGCUGUUUCUUAAUUCACACUCCAAUAAGGAUGGAGGGACAGACAGACCCAGACCCGGAGAGACAGAGAGAGACAGAGAGAGAGGGGGACAGAGAGAAAGAGAAAGAGAGAGAGAGAGACAGAGAGAGAGAGAGAGAUGGGCGGAUGAUCACAAGGAGCUGUAACUUCACACAAUAUUUUAUUUCCGUCUCCACUUCCUUUUGUUUCCGCACCGGAGCGCGCAUGAAGGAGCGCGCACACGCGGACAGACAGAAUGACAGAGUGGAUAAGAACAAGCACGGGAUUUUGUCCCGUGCUCGAGUCGGCGAACACACUCGAGACGAACCGGUGGAGAUUCCACCGAGCGGAGCGAUGGGGGUUCAUGAGUCAUCGAUGGAUUGGAACACGCCCUGCAAACGCACGGCAGGUACAAACUCCAGGCUCUCCUCCUCCGGCCGUUUGGGUGUGGGACGAUCAGCGCUGAGGAGGGAAAAAAAAUGGAGAGGAGUAAACAUAACUGACAAAGGCAGGGGUGAACGAGUGCAGUCCCCUCCCUCCUUCUCUCUCUCGCUUUCCCCUGCACACUCCUCCACUCCUUCUGGAGCCCCUCGAGUGAAAAACCGACCCAACCUGCUCCGUGCAGAGGCUCGUUCGUGGAAACCUCGUCCGACGGCCUCUUGUGCAAAUACGAGAGGUUACAUCGCGUUUGUUGUGGUCGUUUUUUUUGUUGUUUUUUUUUCUCCCUCGGGCGUUGUCCUGCUAUAACGCUCAGAACCUUCGACACUUUGUCGCUAAAAGGUGCUGAUAUUUAUUUUACAUGCCACAGCGAUGUUUUUUUUUUCUGCUCCCGCUUCUAGAAGUGACCUCAUUUCAUUUCGGGAGCCGUCGCUGAGGCCUGCAGCGUCCGCUCACAUCAACACUCGGGUGGAAUCUCGCAGCGUGAAGCGAUUUGGAGCUCUCAGAGCGUCCGGCACGGCAGCAAACAGGCUUUUGUGUGUUAGUGUUGCACAACGUGCCUGAAUAUGGGAGUGCAGGCUGCGUAAACAGUGCGCGCUUGGCUCCAGGGAGUGUGUGCUUUCACCACCCUCGCCUCACACUCCACUUCACCCUGACCACCACGCCAUUCAUGCACUUUAACUGCACACUUAAAAUAGUGCUAACAACCAGCGAGCAUUUUUGACUACAGCGGUUUAACACGUGCAGUCAAUUACUCGUCUAAUACACACUUUGGAUGCAGCAGUUCUGUUUUUUUUUUGCAGACUGACUACGAUUACUACAUUUGUUGGUACUUUUGAGUAACUUACUUAGCAUUAAUGAAUCACGGCUAUUACAGAACCUUUUAUUUAGCUCGGUUUAUGUUAGGUGUGUCACGUGAACUCCUCGUGCUGAGUUUUAUGUUUUAGAUGUUUGAUACAGCACGAGAAUGCAGACCGACCCAGGGAGUGACACGGAAGGGAAGUGGGCGUGUCUCAGUGCUCGCAGACGUGAAAUGAUCUCGGUCACAUGUGACAGUUUCUCUGCACGCUUGCUUCACUGCUCUACGCUCGUGAAUACUUUUGUGUUUGCACAAUUCAGGGCACGUUGCGCUCAAAACGUAUGAAAUCUGAACUAACCUUGAUCGCUCGCGUACUUCGUCUGUAACCUUUCAUUAAAGUGCAUGGACACGUGUCAUAUGGGUAAUACGAAGGAGUACUGAAGCUUAGUGGUGGAUUUUGUAUGGAAUAGUGGUUAAAGCUGUGUAUACACUGUUGCUAGGCAACUGGAAAUAUUAGCUAGCGAAUGAGUCAUGACUUAGCUAGCUAGUUUAUGGCGUCUAUAUGUGCGACGGCAGCGAAAACGAGUCAAAAAAUAUCAACAUUUCCAGUAAAAUUACUAAUAAAGUACUUUGUACGGCUAAAACGACACUGUACUUACACUUAGCAUCGACCGCUGACCAAACAUCUGCGUUACUGAGACACGUGAAAGUUUUUAUGGAGUAAAAAAAAACACAUGAAUAGAACAAGAGUGGUCAUUUAUGUGGAAUCUUCUGACACACGACUGCAUUCAAAGCCUUUGAAGUUUUUUUUUUUUUUUUUUUUUUUAAGGAGAAUCUCUCUCAUAAAUCUUAAUGCCCUGAAUUGUCACAUGGUUCCCGUGUGUCUGAACGACACACUCUUCAAAACAACAACUUCUCGUCACAUCAGCGGGAGAUAUUUUAAGGCUGUUCUGGGUGGAACUUCCCUUCAGGCUAUGACGAUUGAGAUGGUCUUUAGUAACAUGACGUGUUGUGCAACAAGUUAAUAAAUCUCACUUCGUGCAACGUAUCUAUUAAAACGGCUCUUUAAAGCACAGGAGGAUUUUAGCCUCGGGGAUUUCAUAUCGGAGGAGCAGAACCCUGAGAUUUCUGUGCUGCAGAAAGCUCGAAACUCUAAGCUGCUUUCACAUUUU